rnacentral:rRNA from 1 species
GCGCACCAGGCGAGAAUCUUCCACAAUGGACGAAAGUCUGAUGGAGCGACGCCGCGUGCGGGAUGAAGGCCUUAUGGGUUGUAAACCGCUGUCAGGGGGGAAGAACAUCGGAAUGAACAAUACUCAUUCCGACUGACGUUACCCCCAGAGGAAGCUCCGGCCAACUCCGUGCCAGCAGCCGCGGUAAUACGGGGGGAGCAAGCGUUGUCCGGAAUUAUUGGGGCGUAAAAGGGCGUGUAGGCGGCGAGGUAAGUCGAAUGUGAAAUCUCACGGCUCAACCGUGAAACUGCGUUCGAAACUACCCUGCUUGAGUACGGGAGAGGUGUACGGAAUUCCUGGUGUAGCGGUGGAAUGCGUAGAUAUCAGGAA